rnacentral:snRNA from 1 species
GUUGUUAUUAAAAGAGAAGAUUAACAUAGCCUCUGCACAAGGAUAACACGCAAAUUUGUGAAGCAUUCCACAUUUAG